rnacentral:rRNA from 1 species
AGAACGAACGCUGGCGGCAUGCCUAACACAUGCAAGUCGAACGCUCCUGGGGCUUCGGUCUCAGGGGAGUGGCGCACGGGUGAGUAGCGCGUGGGAACCUGCCCUGUUGUGGGGGAUAACCGAGGGAAACUUCGGCUAAUACCGCAUAAGCCGGUUGUCUUGAAAGAGAUGACCGGGAAAGAUUUAUCGCGACAGGAGGGGCCCGCGUCGGAUUAGCUAGUUGGUGGGGUAACGGCCCACCAAGGCAGUGAUCCGUAGCUGGUCUGAGAGGAUGAUCAGCCACACUGGGACUGAGACACGGCCCAGACUCCUACGGGAGGCAGCAGUGGGGAAUAUUGGACAAUGGGCGCAAGCCUGAUCCAGCAAUGCCGCGUGAGUGAUGAAGGCCUUAGGGUUGUAAAGCUCUUUCGCCCGCGACGAUGAUGACGGUAGCGGGAGAAGAAGCCCCGGCUAACUUCGCGCCAGCAGCCGCGGU